rnacentral:lncRNA from 1 species
UUUCCGCCCCCCCCCCACGCGCCCCCCCAUCACACGCACACCCAAUCCCCGGACUGCUCGCUGGUGCUGCUUGUGAGACCCAUUCCUAGGAGCCCCAGGCGCCCUUGGGGAGCAGAAAGAGGCGGUCCAGAGUUGGGCCGGACAACCGCAACCUGGAAGGAGUCCGGGAGUCCUUGGGUCUGGGCGCUCAGUUCUCACGGUCUGGGGAGAAGGGGCUCAGACGGGACGGACUAGGCACAGCCAGGGGCGGGGACUGCGAGAGGCGAGGGGAGGCCGGCAGGGUGUGGCGGCAGAGCAGCCCGGGACAAGUGAGCGGCCUAGAGAUCAAGGCCUUGGAGUCCCGUCCGAGAGCAGGACGUUAUCAGAAACCUCCAGCCCCAACCCCUGCCUGGAGAUGCCCGGGGCGCGCUGACUCUGUUCUCGCAUCACCCCGGGCCCUGGCUCAACGCGUGAGCAGCCUGUGGUUCCAGAUACCCCGAGUGGAGAGUUUGACCCCAGAUUCUGCCUGCACUGACAGGCUUGGCCUGGCGGUUACGAGCCACGGUUGAUGAGCGCCCCUCCUCCCGUGACCCAGCUCAUGAGAAAGGCGGGGAGCACCAACCCUCCCACGGGAAAACACGGGGAGAGGCUGGGCGAGUCAAGGAAUGGUGGCACCAGAGCCUGGGCGCAGAGAGGCAGCUGGACCUCCUGGGCUCCCUUGAGCCGGAGCUCCGCCAGGGUGGGCACUUCUGCCUCCAGCGAUGCUGGGUGCCACAGUCCUCCCGCCUCCUCCUGGACCACACGCGGCUCUCCAGAGUCCCAGGGAAGCUCCAGGGACUCCUCGGACUCCGCCUGGCGCUUCCCGUUUUUUCAUUUCCUACCCCACCCCCAUGCAGAAGGAAUUGAAGUGACUUUUUUGCUGGGACGUCGGGACCUCAAGUCAGUUCCAAAGUGGGAGUCUCUCAGCCGGUGCCGUUCCCUUGCGAGAUUGUUAACGCCAAGAGCCACAGUCCAGCUUCCCCUUUUAGAGAUCAGAAAAUCCUAAGUGCAGGGCCUGCCGGGUCAUUCGAGAAGGCACAAGCUGCGGAGGCCAGUCUGGGGCCUCUCGCAGAACCUCGGGGAACAGAGGCGUCUGCCGGGCCGCCUACCCUCCGCAAGAGUGGGCCACGCGGGCGGCAAACCCGAGGGCAGACGUUUGGGAGCUGACCGAGAAAACGCGACGGUGCCGGCGAGGUUCUGGGCGAAGCCUCGGCGUCCUCCACUGUGGUCGACGCCUUUCCUCGCAGCCCCGGUACAGGGCUUCCUCGGUGCACCCCUAGCCGUUGCCCCGGGAGGAGGCGCCGUCUGGGACACGAAGGGGCUCGGCUGGCGUCGAGGCUCCGCGGCCAGAGCGCGGCGGCUCCGCGCACGCCCAGAAGCCGUGUUGCCGGUUCCGGGGCUGCCGGAAAGCGUGGGGCCAAGCUGCUGCUCUGUGCCCGCGCAAGCGCCUCGCUACCCGGGCGGGACCUUGCUCUCUCCGGCCGCCCUGGGCCGAGGGGUGGCUCAGCAUCGUGGGGGCGGACGCAGACGGCCACUCGGCCGGGACACCGUCGGCCCGGGAGCCGUGAUGCCUUUUCUCUCUGCAGCUGAAGCCUCCGAUCGGUUUCCCCGCCCUUCUGUAGGAAAUCAAAUUCAGGGAACAUGGUACCGUAUUUACCCGCACAACUUCCUCCCUUGACAUUUUGCACUCUCGAAGUUGGGGCAGAAGUAAUUAUGCAAACAUCUGGGGCUGUCCCGCGCCGCUACCGGCACCGUCUUAUUCAUCCUGAGAGCCGCACUCCCUCAUUUGCAUAAUAAUGGCUUAUCUAGAAUAACACAGCAAUCAGAGGCAAAAUUAAUUUUCUUCAGCUAGUCCUUGAGAUCCUAAAAACAGAGGAGGCUUAUGGCAAGAAAAGCCGGUUUAGCAGAGGGUGUAGGGUUCCUGACCAGGACCAAGGAGAGAGAAAGUUUAAAGCAGUGGAAAUGUGAUGUUCACGCUGAGUUUCUGUAUUUUUCUAGUUUCAACCUCAGAGCUUACUUUUUGGCCAAACGGAUGAAGGGGUAAGCCACCGUGGAAGUCCCAGCAGAUACCCCCACCAUCGCCCCAUCCAUCCUGGGAGGUUCGGUGGCCCUCGAGGCAGAGACAUGGACUGUGGCUGGGGUAUUGGGGGCAGAUGUUCAAUGUGUUGGGGUGUGGAGAGGGUAGAUUGGCAGCCUACUGAGGAUUAAAGGGGUGUCCUGCAAACCAGCUCCGGGGUCUGGGUCCGGACCUUCCAGGGACUCAGUUCCGCACCCUUUGAACAGAUCAAGACAGAGCACUUCCUUGCUCUGGGAUGGUCGCCUCAGCCACCGAGACAGCAGAAGUCGUUGAAUUCAAAGCAGAAUAAAGGGGUGCGUGGGUGGCGGUGGGGUGCCUUAAGUGGAGGAAACAUCUUUUAUACAUUAAAAAAUCUUCUUGAUCUUUUUUAAUACGCAGAGGAGUGGGAGGAGAAAAUCCACAAAUAAAUAUGGUAAAUGAAUUUGGACCAGAAUUGUAAUUGCAGGGCCACUUUCAGGGCAAUUCCGGGCUCCAGACAAUUUUUGCAGUAAAACGUGUUUCCUCCGAGGGCACCAUUCUCACUUUUGCAGUCACAGAGCAGAGAGUGAGAGGAGCUCAAAAGGGCUCUGCAGCACCUCCCGUCACCCCUCUACGGACAAGAACGUCCUCUCUCUUGGAAAAGAUGCAGGUUUUACGUUUAAUGAGAAGGUGCCCACAGUUCAGGCUUGCAACUAAGAAGUUUGGUAUCAGUCUUAAGUUCUUUUUUAAAAUGAGCUUUUAAAUAGUUCAGGGUUACAGGAGGAAGCCUAGGAAGGAAUUGCUGUGAGUAGAGCAACCUGUGGGUGAGAUGGGUAGGGGGAGGAAAAAUGGGUGGAAGAUCUCAGUGACACCUUCAGAUGCUGUAUUGGUGGGAAGGGAGGAGGGUGCCAAGGGACUGUAGGGCCUGGAAAAGGGAGUGUCUCUGGAGAGCCGGGCUGCUGGGUUGGGAGGGAUAGGCCUCAUUUUAUCUCCUUCCUCUUCCCUUUGCGGUCAUUCCCACUGCCCUUUUGAGGCAGUCUCUAACUUUUUUACACCACCCCGACGGUGCAGCCUGACUUUAGAGGUAUCAUCUCCUUUCCAAUGUGUGUGUGUUCGUGUGUGUGUGUGCCUGUGUGUGUGUGUGUGUGUGUGAGAGAGAGAGAGAGAGAGAGAGAGAGAGAGAGAGAGAGAGACAGAGCGAGAGAGAGAUCAAAGUUUCCCUAGGGGAAGGGGGCGCUCUGGGGGAGGGGCGCCCCAGGAUACCCGAAGACUCCAGCUGUCCCCAGGUAUUUUCCCAGCCAAAAACCUCAGGGGGAGUUGGGAUUCCAGGCCUUCCAUUCAGUCCCAGGUUUCUCCCUCAGUUUCUCCCUUUUGGAGAGUAGGGAGGACCUGGGAUGAAUAGAAGAGGAAGUGGCCAGCAGGGAGGCCUGCAGGGGUUACCAAUUCUUCUGUUCCCUGAAACCUUUUCUUAGGUCUGCAAGACAGGAUCUCUGGCGGACCUCAUUCUCCAGCCUGCUCCAGGCAUUAUACGAGCUCUGGGAUGGGGGUGGGCAGUCCCUUGGGGAACUGUCCUCUCUACCCCACCCCCACUCUGUCCCAAGCUGAGGGGAGGGGUUGGACCUCUCCUCUUGAGGGGGGCGCCAUUCAGCCUGGAAGGGCCUGAGCAAUGGGAAGGGUGUCCACUGGAUAGGGGUGCAGGACACUGGGCUUCAGCCUUGGAGUGGUCUUACAGCUCCCCAGUGAGGGACAGCGGGGUGGGUACAGGUCCCUCUCAGGAGUCGGGAACAUCUAAGAGCAUAUCCCCAAGUCUGACCCUCACUUUGCACAAGUCUGGUGUGCAGUGGUGUCCAGCCGAAAUGAAGAAGGUGGGCACAGGUGGGCAUGGGGGAGUCGAGGGUCUUCAGGAGCAGGUGGGGCCAUCGCUGGCAGAGAUCACAGAGAUGUCGUUCCCAGAGUGAGGGCAUCGAGUGUAGGGAAAGAAAAGGGGAGAAAGACAGGAGUGGAUGUUGGGGGAGAUGAUUUGCCACGGCAAGACAGGGCAAGACUGAGUCACUUUCUCCCACAGCUCCUGUUGGGUCCUUCGGCACCUGCAGUCUAACCCAGGUGCCUCACCAGCUGCCUCUCUCAACACUGACUGCCCGUCCCUUCAAAUCGUGGGACUAGUGGCCAGUGGAAUCUGGGGAAGUGCCUCACGUGCUUGCACCACAAGAUCAGGUCUCUCUCCUGGAAAUCAGUGGUCCCACCUGCAGAAUGGGCCAGUUCUUUCCCAUUUUGUUGCUAUGACAGGCAUCUGUAAUGGACCCACAGGAUCCCAGGAAAGCAGGACUCCAUACUACACACACACACACACACACACACACACACACACUUGCUGUUUUUCCAAGAUGAGAAAGGAGUCCUAGGCUCGGUUUCUUCCGCAGCUUCUGUGGGUUCACGCAUCCCCUUCCCUGGAAGGAAAGUUUCUGGGGCUGUCUACAUGGCAGUUCCAAGGAUGCCCUGGGAAGUGGUGUGUGAAGGGUUGCAGGGCCCUGGAUUGUCACAGGGGGCAGGGCAGGGCAGAGGGUGGAGCUAGGCAGGACUGGAAGAAAGUGUGCAAGGGCAGGAAGGGGGUUGGAUCUGAUACCCACCAACCACUCAUCACGGCAUCUGCGAGGGAGUGCUGGGAAUACCUGUUUCUACAGUGGCUCAAAUGGACAUGAUGUGUUAUGGUGUUUGUAUCCCAUUGGUAUCUAGCCUGGCACAAGAGGGUGUACCAGAGUGCUGGGAGUGGACAGAUGUAGCCACCAUCCGCUGAGUGAGGGCUGCUCUGAGCCAGGCUUUGUGCUGGAGGUUUACGGGACUCUGCUUCUAUUCCUCAUCACAACCCUUAGAGGGAGGCUCCAUUUAAAGAUGAAGACACAGGCUCAGAGGGUUAAGUAACUUGUUAAUGACCAAGUUAAGUCACAGGACAGAGCUCAACCUAAAUCUGUCACCCAAGAGUUGAGGAGCCUAAGGGGAAGCUUCAGGGUAGCUCUUGCUGGUGUGGAACCAGGCACCUAGGGGAGCCGGGCAUGGCUGUGCUGCGCUAGGGUUUGGAGCUUGGCAUGAAGAGCAGCCUGUGGCAAUGUCACUGGCUAUGGCCAAUCCCAGCCUUUGGCGGGACCAGGAGCUUAGCAGCCUGAGACCAGAGACCCACUGGCUUUUCCAGCCUCUGUCCAGCUGCUCAGGGAGUAGGACUGGCUGAGAUCAAUGGUAGUCAGUUUCAAGUCCCCAUGCUAGGGCUCCUGGGUUCCAGGAUUGACAAGCCACAUUGACACAGAAGCCCAUGCCUGGGCUGCUGCUGAGAUGCACCUGCAUAAUGCAUAAAACAGUGGAUUGGGAAUGAAAUCCAGGCUUGCUCUGCCCCUGGCUAACUGGGUUACCUUGGACAAGUCUCUCUCUUUCUCCCUGCAAAACCAGCAUUCGGAGCAGGCAGCCUUGGGGCCGCCAGUCUGGUCUCCAUGUUCGACACCUCGAGAUCAUUCGUGUAGGCAUAUGAGGGUUUUCCUGAACCUUUUGGAAAUACUUGUUGACUGUUGAGUGCUGACCACUGAUGCACAUGCCCAGGGCAGUACACAGAACCCUGGAGUUUGUGCCUGCCCAAGAAGCUAGGGACUCCUAGUAGGAGUGGCAGAUUCCUGUCCCAGAUACACCGGGUACUGGCCACCAUUUUCCCAAUGAUGCCAGGCCCAGAGCUACCAAAUACCUACUAGGAGACACAGGGUGGCAAGAGGAGGACUCCAGGGGAAGGCCUGUGUGACUAGGCUACCAUUCCAGGCUCAACUCUGGCGAGGAACAAUCUAAGGUGUGCUCCUCCCUCCAGCCCCACACUGCUGGCAGCAAGGCUGCAGCUCAGACUAAUUCCAGGUACAUUCUAUAGGUGGCAUCAUGCUACUGGAAAUGGCCUCCUUGGAGAAAGAGGCUCUCUUGUCAGCAUCUCCAGGCACUGGCGAGCCGAGGCAAGGUUGACACAAUCACAGUCUAAACUGCGCGGAGAAGGACACCUGAGGGGCGAUGGGUAUGUGCUGAGGGACAGUCCUCUCCAUAUUAGGGGCCACUGCUCCAGGUGCAUAAGCUUCUUCCGUGCCAUCCACCGGUGAGGCCUUGGGGCCUGUGGGUGUCGGGGGUCUCUCCUGCCUUCUGCCACCCGUGGGAGGUAAAGGCCUCACUGUGCACCUGGUGGGGGUGCUAGGCGGGCUACCACUAGGUCUACAACAGCAUACACCUGCACCAAGUCGCCUUGCCACCAGGCUGCGUGAGAGAACUGGGUCAGUGCACCACGUGUCCUAGCCAGAGAGGCCCCUCCACACUCCCUGGACAUCCUGGGGCCACUUUCACCGUCCAGACCCUUGCAGGGGCAGCUCAGACUCCUCUUCCGUGGGCAAACAGACCAGCCAGAAGUGGGGAGAGGGAAAGCAAGUGGGGCGUCCUGUUCGAGACGGACACUGAGGUCACCAGCACAGGCAGGCGUCAAUCUGACCAAGGAGACCAGGAUCUCAGGAGGCUUCACCCAGGACCCACCGCCCCUCUGGCAGAGAAUCCCUGAGAUGACUCCUUCCUUGCCCAGAUCCGGCCCUGAUGGCUUCAAUCUUCCGAGCUGGGGGGCCUGUCCCCUAUCCCCCCAGCCUCUUGCAGCCUGCCGUCAGGAGCAGGGCUGGCACAGCGACAGAGAAGAAAGGUGUGACAGCGACACCUCUCACCUCUCCCUUCCACCACCUGGCUGGCUCCAGGCCGCCCGCGCCUCCAGGGCACAGAGCCAGUGGGUCCUCGUGGCCACUGUUCCCGGCCUCCUGGCGCUGAGGCUCCACGCAGCACUCUACCGGCGCCUCCCCCCGGCCCCCGCCCCCCGC